GGGAAUGAUUGGGCGGCUGGUGCCCUCCGCGGUCUUCAAAACCGACGUCUCCGCCAUAAACGGAGAGCUGGGUUCGAUUCCCAGACGUUCCCG
rnacentral:tRNA from 1 species